rnacentral:rRNA from 1 species
UACGUAGGGGGCAAGCGUUGUCCGGAUUUACUGGGCGUAAAGAGCGCGUAGGCGGAAGCUUAAGCGGUGCCUGAAAGCCCCCGGCUCAACCGGGGAGGGCGGUGCCGAACUGGGCUUCUUGAGGGCGAUAGGGGAGAGUGGAAUUCCGGGUGUAGCGGUGAAAUGCGUAGAGAUCCGGAGGAACACCAGGGGCGCAGGCGGCUCUCUGGGUCGGCCCUGACGCUGAGGCGCGAAAGCGUGGGGAGCGAACGGG